rnacentral:rRNA from 1 species
GACGAACGCUGGCGGCGUGCUUAACACAUGCAAGUCGAACGAUGAAACCUAGCUUGCUAGGUCGAUUAGUGGCGAACGGGUGAGUAACACGUGACUAACCUGCCCCUUUCUCUGGGAUAACGCUCCGAAAGGAGUGCUAAUACCGGAUACUCACAUCGAGGCACAUGCCUUGAUGUGGAAAGUUUUUCGGAAAGGGAUGGAGUCGGGGCCUAUCAGCUUGUUGGGGAAGGAACGGCUCACCACGGCGACGACGGGUAGCCGGCCUGAGAGGGCGACCGGCCACACUGGGACUGAGACACGGCCCAGACUCCUACGGGAGGCAGCAGUGGGGAAUAUUGCACAAUGGGCGCAAGCCUGAUGCAGCGACGCCGCGUGAGGGAUGAAGGUCUUCGGAUUGUAAACCUCUUUCAGUAGGGACGAAGCGAAAGUGACGGUACCUAAAGAAGAAGCACCGGCUAACUACGUGCCAGCCGCCGCGGUAA